rnacentral:misc_RNA from 1 species
GAUGAAGAACGUAGCGAAAUGCGAUAAGUAAUGUGAAUUGCAGAAUUCAGUGAAUCAUCGAAUCUUUGAACGCACAUUUCGCCCGCCAGCAUUCUGGCGGGCAUGCCUGUUCGAGCGUCAUUUCAACCCUCUAGCCCCCCCGGGGGCCUCGGUGUUGGGGGACGGCACACCAGCCGCCCCCGAAAUGCAGUGGCGACCCCGCCGCAGCCUCCCCUGCGUAGUAGCACACACCUCGCACCGGAGCGCGGAGGCGGUCACGCCGUAAAACGCCCAACUUUCUUAGAGUUGACCUCGGAUCAGGUAGGAAUACCCGCUGAACUUAAGCAUAUCAAUAAGCGGAGGA